rnacentral:rRNA from 1 species
UACGGGGGGGGCAAGCGUUGUUCGGAAUUACUGGGCGUAAAGGGCUCGUAGGCGGCCAACUAAGUCGGACGUGAAAUCCCCAGGCUCAACCUGGGAACUGCGUUUGAUACUGGAUGGCUUGAAUCCGGGAGAGGGAUGCAGAAUUCCAGGUGUAGCGGUGAAAUGCGUAGAUAUCUGGAGGAACACCGGUGGCGAAGGCGGCAUCCUGGACCGACACUGACACUGAGGAGCGAAAGCCAGGGGAGCAAACGGG